rnacentral:rRNA from 1 species
AGAGUUUGAUCAUGGCUCAGGACGAACGCUGGCGGCGCGCUUCACACAUGCAAGUCGAACGAGAAGCCCGGGCUUGCCCGGGUGGAAAGUGGCGAACGGGUGAGUAACACGUGAGCAACCUGCCCCGAAGACGGGAAUAAGCCGGGGAAACCUGGUCUAAUGCCCGAUGCUCUCGCCGGACCGCAUGAUCCGGCGAGGAAAGCUCCGGCGCUUCGGGAUGGACUCGCGGCCUACCAGCUUGUUGGUGGGGUAACGGCCCACCAAGGCGACGACGGGUAGCUGGUCUGAGAGGAUGUCCAGCCACACUGGGACUGAGACACGGCCCAGACUCCUACGGGAGGCAGCAGUGGGGAAUCUUGCGCAAUGGGCGAAAGCCUGACGCAGCGACGCCGCGUGCGGGAUGAAGGCCUUCGGGUUGUAAACCGCUUUCAGCAGGGACGAAAUUGACGGUACCUGCAGAAGAAGCCCCGGCCAACUACGUGCCAGCCGCCGCGGUAAUAC